UUCCCUCGUGAAUAUGCACUAUAUCUUAUUCAACCAAUCCUUUGUCAGUUAUUAAUUUUGUACCUAACCACAAUGAACAAGGUUGCAGACAAGUCUGCCUAGCAGCAAGCACAAGUAUCUGAAGGACGAACUUCUCCAGGUGGGGUUGCUGGACAGACACCUGUGCUUUGGUCAUUUUGUCAGGUAUCUUUGCAUCUUCCUUAAGGGGUAAUAAUGAAGAUGAAAAGCCUCAGGUGUGCACCCAGGUUAAGCAGAAAAACAUCUUAGGGCUCUUUCAGAAUGGGUCAGUUUGCCCAGUGUUUAGGCAAACCUAGAAACUCUAGGGCCAGGGAUAUAGCUCAGUGGCACAGCACCUGCCUGGCAAGUGCAAGGUCCUGAGUUUGAUCCCCAGUACAAAAAAAAUAAAUAAAUAAAAUAAAUAGAAACACUAGAAUCAUGCUGUUUUGCACAUGCAUCUUUCCUAGAGUCACAAACACUGCGGUUCUUCCUGUGUCUCUGCCCUUGAAGGACAUCGUCCCUAAAGUGUUGUCAGUAGAGUUACAGAAGAACGUUGACAACUCAGAGUCCUGUGGCAUUGUCUUCAGUGAUUUCAACAAGUGCAAAAACUCCACUGGCUUAUUCCAGUUCCAUAUAAAAUCAGCGAGGACCCGUCCACAAGGCCUUUCAAUCCUCUACUGCGUUGAAGCCCUCUUUGACAAAACAGCAGUCCCUGUGCCUGGAGGUCAUCUCCCUCCACAUCCUAAAGAUGCCAACAUUUCCAUAAUUAUGUCCAGCACAAUGGUCAAGACAGUUGUCAAGUACAAUGCCAAGCGGAGCUCCGCCAAGUCAGAUAACCUGGAGGCAAGCAUCACCAAGACAACCUUCAGGUUCCAGCAAGACAGUAACAGUGUUCGGGUUGCUUACUCGACUACCAUAAAAAAGGAUGGUGAGAGUUUUGCUAAGGGAGAAUCGGUAAGUGCUGAGAAAUGAACAGGAACUGAGCUGUGAGAAGGAACUUUAAGGAACAAUGUUUAAUGGGAUGAGCUGCUACCAAACCUCAAGUGCCUGGGUGUCACCAGAAGAAAGGAACAGAUACUCUGGCAGCUCAGCCCCAAGAGGGAAAUGGAGUGAGCACUCUGGCCUAGAAGGAUGAGGCCAAGUAGACCUCACUCUGGUCCUGAACUGGGACCCCAAUGGUCGUCUCACGAUGUGACAUGUUUACUGAGUAGCCAGGUCAAGGUAUUACAUUUAAUGCAUAUUCACCUUAUUUCAGGUCAUAAUCAUCAAAACUGCUGGCAAGAUUUCAAGUGACAAAAUGAUAGUAAACGUUGAAGUUUCAAGGUACUAUCUAUGACUACAUAAUUCUAUUAUCAAUGUAAGAGACAAUAAGAAACCCUGGGCUGGGGAUUUAGCUUAGUGGUUCCCCUGCCUGCCUCACAAGCACAGUCUCGAGUUUGAUCCCCGGUACCAA
rnacentral:lncRNA from 1 species